UGGGGUAGCGCCGGUGCUUGACUCGGAUGGGUGAAUGGGGCCGGAAUUAAUGUGAUGGUGGCGGCCGCGGGAAUUCAAUUAAAUGACUGGGUUAAAUUGAACGCUGGACAUGCUUUACUCAUGCAGUCAAGCGAACUCCAUCUACCCUGGAGGCUUUUUGGGAUUGGCUCCCCCUCAUGGGCUCGUUUCCCUUUGUGGGGGAUAAUGCCGUACUGCGUGCUAUACCUAUAUGCUCUGUGGACAAAGUGGGUCACCGCCUUCCCUCACGCUUUCCAGCGGCACUCGGAUUGCCUUUUGGUGGGGCAAAGGCUCACCAAGGCGACUAUCAGUAGCACUUCUGAGAGGAUGAUCCGCCACACUGUGACUGAGACACUGCCCAACCUCCUACGGGAGGCUCUUGUGGGGAAUUUUGGACAAUGGCGGCAACCCUGAUCCAGCCAGGUGGGUGAGUGAAGAAGGCCUUCGGGUUGUUAAACUCUUUCGCCAGGGAAGAUAAUGACCCCCCUGGAUUCCUUCCCCGGCUAACUUGGCCCCUCCCCGGUAAUACAAAUGGGGCUAGCGUUGUUCUAAUUACUAGAUAAAUCCCUGCGCCAGUUGUCUUGCAAGACAGGGGUGAAAUCCCCGGGCUCAACCUCUGACUGCUAUUGUGACUGCCAGCUGGAGUACGGCAGAGGGGGAUGGAAACUCCCGUGUAUCUGAGAUGCUCCGAUUGCUACGGAACUCCUGCUACGAAGCGCAAUCUCCCUGGCCCUGUACUGACACUCCAUGCCUUGAAAGCGUGAUGAGCAACGAUUAUGAUACCCUGGUAUUUCCACACUGUAAUGAUGUCACUGUGUGGGCGAUUUAUUUCUUCAUUAACAAAAAUAAUGCUGAAUUUGACUACUGGGCUGUAGGCGCAAGUAAUGCAUCGUAUUCGACGUCUCGAUGUCCGCUGGAUGAUGUAGCUUUACUACGUGCAGCUAUAACCUACCCACCAUUGUUGAUGGGCCCAAAGAUGUGAGUGCCACUCGGUCAUAACAGUGCUUGCGGAAUUCGACGUCACUGACAGUCCACGACCUAAUCAAUGAGGCCGGUCGAAA
rnacentral:rRNA from 1 species